rnacentral:rRNA from 1 species
AUUGAACGCUGGCGGCAUGCUUUACACAUGCAAGUCGAACGGUAACAGGCCGCAGGGUGCUGACGAGUGGCGAACGGGUGAGUAAUGCAUCGGAACGUGCCCAGUCGUGGGGGAUAACGCAGCGAAAGCUGUGCUAAUACCGCAUACGAUCUAUGGAUGAAAGCGGGGGACCGUAAGGCCUCGCGCGAUUGGAGCGGCCGAUGUCAGAUUAGGUAGUUGGUGGGGUAAAGGCUCACCAAGCCAACGAUCUGUAGCUGGUCUGAGAGGACGACCAGCCACACUGGGACUGAGACACGGCCCAGACUCCUACGGGAGGCAGCAGUGGGGAAUUUUGGACAAUGGGCGCAAGCCUGAUCCAGCAAUGCCGCGUGCAGGAAGAAGGCCUUCGGGUUGUAAACUGCUUUUGUACGGAACGAAACGGUCUGGGUUAAUACCCUGGGCUAAUGACGGUACCGUAAGAAUAAGCACCGGCUAACUACAUGCCAGCCGCCGCCGUAAGAC